CAGAAGAUAGUUUAAUUUAGAAUUCUGGCUUUGGGUGCCAGGGGAAGGAGUUAGAAUCUCUUUCUUCUGG
rnacentral:tRNA from 1 species